rnacentral:lncRNA from 1 species
AAAAAAAUAUGUGCCCAUUUUUAACUGCCUCCUACACCAACUCAGAAGCUAGGAUAUGCAUAUUAUUAACACAUUCGGAUAGAAAACACUCUGAAUUUUCUUAAACAGUUUGAAUGGUGUCUUGUUCUGUGUUCUGUGUCAGAAGAAGAGGGGGGACAAGAGAAAAAGUAAAACAACGGAUCACCAGUCUUCCUCUCUUCCUCUUGUCGUCUCGGAAUCUUAAUUUGCUCGGCAUUGUGGGAGUAAACGAACUGCGAACGGAAAUAGCAAUGGAUGGUGUUGUAGUGUUUUAUUCAGAUUUUUUUUUUUUAUAAUUAAUGAAUUAAAAAAACAAAGGUUGGCUUUUUAAAUCUACAUAAUAUCAAACCGUGGUGUGUUUAUUUAUUUGUUUGUAUUUUUAAAGUAAGGCAUAUUUCAGUUAUGUGAUGUGUUUCUCAUAAGCCUAAUUACUGAAAUGUGAAUUAUCUUCAGUCCUUUGCAAUUUAGUAAAUCAACUGUCCAGGGAGCCCAUUUGAAGCAGGGAAAUAGACUAUAUUAUUACUAAAGCAGAACAACCCUCAUUUUAAAAGACAACACCACCAACAUCACCACACACACACACACCACAAACACACACACCACAAGCACACACACACACACACACACACACACACACACACACACACAC